AGAACUCAUGGAGAAAACUCCCUCCACAAACCGCUGUCCUUCUGAGUGAGAACCAUCGGGACUAGUCUUCAUGUUGUGCCGAAUGUACCUUGUUCUUAAGAGCAGGAUAUCCAGCAAGUUACUCUAAGAAAGCAACACAACACUGAAAGGGAAAAUUCCAUUGUGCUAGAAGAAUCCAAAUGUUAUUUCAGAGCUUUACGCAGUCUCCCAGAUACCUGGGAACCCAACUGUGAAGAUUGCAGGCAUAAUGAAAUGGGAAAGAAUUUAGAAAGUGAAUUCAAACAGAAGAAUCUAUGGGAGAAGUUCAGAUUUGUCUUGCCUUUCCUAAGCUUUUUCUCUGAAACACUCAUGAAACGAGAAAUCCUUUGAGAAGCUCACCUCACAGCUACCACCUCACAAGAACAGUGAGCUGUGUUUGGAGAGAUGCUUCCUGCAAACCAGUCACUCACUCGCAGGACUGAAGCUUUCCUAGCUUAUACCCAGUGAAAGCAUUACCAUGCCUCUUUUCUAUGGUGAUAUGUAACUUUCUUUUCAGUGCAAAUGUGAUGCAUUGAAUAGCUCUGCUUUCCUGUACAACAGAACUGAUAAAAUUUCAUCUCAUCAUUCACGUAGGAAAGAAUAAAUCCAUUUGGUCAGGCUCACAUUUUAACUGAACAGAACCUCUAUUUGAAGUGCAUCCAAUUUUGAUUUAUGGAGCUGGUGUGAAUAAUUUUGUAUGGACGUGCUUCAGUUAAAUCUGUUUUGGAUUUUUGUUGUUGCUGCUGUUGCUGUCGUCUUUUCUUUCAUUUUAUGGUUAGAGUUAGAAACUGCGAUCCUUGGCGUCAGAGACUUGUUUCUGAAACGACCCACUGAGAUGACCUGUGGUUGUGUUCCAUGAUUUACCACAGAGAAAAUACAAAUAAAAGCACUGG
rnacentral:lncRNA from 7 species